UACGUAGGGACCAAGCGUUGUUCGGAUUUACUGGGCGUAAAGGGCGCGUAGGCGGGUCGUUUAGUUAGAGGUGAAAGCCCAGGGCUCAACCCUGGAAUUGCCUUUAAUACUGGCGGCCUUGAGUAUGGCAGAGGUGUGUGGAACUCCGAGUGUAGAGGUGAAAUUCGUAGAUAUUCGGAAGAACACCAGUGGCGAAGGCGACACACUGGGCCAUUACUGACGCUGAGGCGCGAAAGCGUGGGGAGCAAACAGG
rnacentral:rRNA from 1 species